UUGGUUAGCAUCGAUGAGUUGGGCCAAAAGGCCUGUUUCCUGUGACUUGGGGCUUCAGGCUUCUGCAACUCCAGUCUGAUGAUAGCCGUGAGAUGUGGCAGAGCCUGCACGGUGACAGUCAUUGAUGAUAGAUGUUGACUCCUUGAGCCAGGAGAUCCUGCUGCUAAUACCAGUGGUGUGGAGAGAUGUGCCCACAGUAUUUUGGGAAGAGUCCAUUACUCAGAGUUUCCUGAUGCAGGGUUUUGACCCAGAACGUGGACUGCCCAUUUUCCUCCACUGAUGCUGCUUCACUCACUGAGUUCCUCCAGCAUCUUGUUUGUUGCUGUACAUCUCUUGUGUCACCAUGUUCAGACAAGAUAAGUUAGGGUUUUAUGAGUGAAAGCAAAGAUUUUGGUGCUUUAAAUGGAAUAAGAUUCAUCAGCCCUGAUAUGAUCCCUCAGAUCUACAGAAUGAAUAAACAAAGGAAGCACUUGGAUAAUCUUGGAUUUGAAAUUCCUCUAUUCAAAGAGAGGAGAAUAAAACAGACUCAUGUAAUUGCGUGUGAGAAAGAGUGGAUUGAAGGAACUGUAUAUUUGUUUCUGAGAGAGAAAGACAGAAGAGAAAGGUGCCUCAUUAUUCUGAAAUACAACUCAAUAAAUUAGAAACGAGAAAAUCUGCAGAUGCUGUAAAUCAAAGUAAUACACACAAAAUACUAGGGGAACUCAGCAGGCUAGGCAGCAUCUGUGGAAUAAGAGUAAACAGUCGAUGAUUCAGGCCAAAACCCUUCAUCAGGACUGGAAAAAAGAGAUGAGGUCAGAGUAAGAAGGUGGGGGGAGGAGUGGAAGAAGUACAAGGUAGUAGGUGAUAUGCGAAUGGUUUACUCUUUUCCAUAGAUGCUUCCUGGCCUGCUGAGUUCCUCCAGCAUUUUGUGGCUAUGACUUCAAUGAAUUAGAAAUGGUUUAUCAUUGUCAUAAAUACUGGGAAACAAAGGAAAGCUUCAGUCUGUGUGCCUUCCAGACAGAUUACUCCAUACAGAGGUACACUGAGGUAGUAAAGAGGAAACCAGAAUGCAGAAUAUAAUGGUCCUGCUACAGAGAAAGUGCAGUGCAGAUAGACAAUUAGCGUGCAAGUGUCGGGGCAAGGUAGAUUAGAAGAUCCUGAUUUCAUCUUUAAACAUAAAAGAGGUAGGUGACAGUAAUAGAAGCUGUCCUUGAGCCUGGAAGUAUGUGCUAUCAAGCUUUUGUAUCUUCUGCCCAACAGGAGGGGAGUGAAAAAAGUACAUCUGUGGUGAAGGGGAUUCUUGAUUAUGUUGGCUACUUUUCCAAUGUAGUGCUAAGUGUGGAGGGAGUCAAUGGAGGCAGAGCUGGUUUGCAUGAUGGACUGGCUGCAUUCACUACCCUGAGCAACUUCUUGCUGUGUUGGGUAGAGCAGCUGUCACAUUGAGCUGUUUUACAUACAGAUGGGAUGCUUUCAAAAGUACAUCUAUAAAAAUUGCUCAGGGUCAGAAAACAUGAUGUUUUGAAUAGUAGUAACUAGUAUAAAUAAUUCUGUACACAAUCCCAUUUCAAAUGAACUAUUUAACAGGGCCCCUGUGGUGUGGAGAGAGGAAAGGGGCUUGUUUUGUUGUUUUCUUGCAUGUUUUGUUUUAUUUUGUUACAUUC